CUUCCAGUCCAGCUCUGCUUUGGCCUGGGAAAGCAGUAGAAGAUGGCCCAAGUCCUUGGGCCCCUGCACCCACGUGGGAGACCCAGAAGAAGCUUCUGGCUCCUGGCUUUGCAGCGGCGCAGCUCGGGCCAUUGUGGCCAUCUAGGGAGUGAGCCAAUGGAAGGAAAACCUUUCUGUCUCUCCCUCUCACUAUAUGUAACUCUAUCUCUCAAAUAAAUAAAUAAAUAAAAUCUUUAAAAAAUGAAUUAAAAAAAAGAUAAGCUUAGAAGUAAGUAUUUGGCCUUAGUGGUUAAAGCUACUGGUUGGGACACCUGUAUCCACUCUAUAGAAGUGCCUAGUGAGCCGCGGCGCUGGCCAGGGGUUGCUGUUCUGGAGGAAGGGACUGGGAUGGAGGCCAAGCGUCCCAGGUGAUAGAUUGUGUAGAACUCAGACCACAAGGGCCAGCGUUGUGGUGUAGCUGAUUAAGCCACUGCCUGGGAUACCAGUAUACCAUGUGGGUGCCCGUAAGAGUCCCGGCUGCUCCACUCCCGAUCCAGCUCCCUGCUGUGGCCUGGGUAAGCAGCACAAGGUGGCCCACGUGCUUGGGCCCCUGCCACCCAUGACCUAAAUGGAGUUCCAGGCUCCUGGCUUUGGUGUAGCCCAGUCCUGGCUGUUACAGCCAUUUGAGGAGUGAACCUGUGGAUAGAAGAUCUGUGUCUCCCUCGUCUCUGUACCUUUGCCUUUCAAAUAAAUAAGUCCUUUUUUUAAAGAACUCGGAACACAGCACAGGUCGUGGUUGUGAUGUGUUGUGGUUCUGCAAACUGUUAUCUUUGGGGGAGACGUGGCCCACGGAGGAGCUGUGGCUUUUGUUUGUUUUGUUGGUUGGUUUGUAUUAUACUUAUUUGAGAGACAGAUAGCUGCUACCUACUGGUUCAGUCCUCAGAUGUCCACAACAGCUGAGGGUUGAAACUGGGAGCUGGGAGCUCUACCCAGGUCUCCUGCCUGGGUGGCAGAUAAAGUAAAUUGAGUCCACACUGCUGACUCCCAGAAUCUGCAUGAGCAGGAAAACAGAGCUGGGAAUCAAACCCAGGCACUCCAGCGUGAGACAUAGGCAUCUUAACUACUAGGCCAAA